AUGUACCAAAAGGGUUGUCGACUGCAUUUAAUGCUCAUGUAUGUCGACUAUCUUGAUCUGUCCACUGUGGACUUCACUGGGGUAGGAGGCCCGCCGCCUACGCACAAGUUUGCUGUUUCUGCAUGGACUAUCAACGCUGUCAAGGUUGUGCUUGCCGCAGACGGGGCAACUGAUACCAAAUAUGGAAAAUUGCAGCUGAUGGCCAAGCAUGCUAUAGACUACAGCGUGUUUGGGGGGCCUCAAAACUUUGGAAAGUGGAUGGACGUGCACUCAGCUCCAUCUUGCCCUACUGAGGUGAGGGCACCUGUUGAGCAUCUAAUUGGGAAGUUUGCAUCUGGAAUGACCGGCUUGCUCGGGAAUUUGGUUGAGGGCUGGACGUCUCUCAGUGGCUCUGAUAGUGACGUGGUUGCGAGGCAGUUCACUUCAUUUGUCCCAGAACGUACACAUCGGUCAACCGGUUGCCAUGGUCGGUAUGACUACAACAGUUCACAAGAGCCCGGUGACACACAAGAUGAUCUAGAUGGAGACGCUGGCCUCAGCAAGGAUGACGACGAUGACAUGGAGAACGUGCAACAGGACACCGAUCAUGAUGAACAUGCUUAA
rnacentral:rRNA from 1 species